CCUCUGCCUAUGAUGGCAUUAAAUAUACUUUGAGCAAUUUUGCUAUGAACAAAUAAUUUAAGCUGAGGCUU
rfam:Capsicum annuum cultivar Zunla-1 chromosome 1, whole genome shotgun sequence